rnacentral:rRNA from 1 species
AUGAACGCUGGCGGCGUGCCUAAUACAUGCCAGUCGAGCGAAUAGAUGAGGAGCUUGCUCCUCUGACGUUAGCGGCGGACGGGUGAGUAACCCGUGGAUAACCUACCUAUAAGACUGGGAUAACUUCGGGAAACCGGGGCUAAUACCGGAUAAUAUAUUGAACCGCAUGGUUCAAUAGUGAAAGACGGUUUUGCUGUCACUUAUAGAUGGAUCCGCGCCGCAUUAGCUAGUUGGUAAGGUAACGGCUUACCAAGGCAACGAUGCGUAGCCGACCUGAGAGGGUGAUCGGCCACCCUGGAACUGAGACACGGUCCAGACUCCUACGGGAGGCAGCAGUAGGGAAUCUUCCGCAAUGGGCGAAAGCCUGACGGAGCAACGCCGCGUGAGUGAUGAAGGUCUUCGGAUCGUAAAACUCUGUUAUUAGGGAAGAACAAAUGUGUAAGUAACUAUGCACGUCUUGACGGUACCUAAUCAGAAAGCCACGGCUAACUACGUG